GCGGGAGUCGCCAAGCGGUAAGGCAUUAGCCUUCCAAGCUAACAUUCGCGGGUUCGAAUCCCGUCUCCCGCUCCU
rnacentral:tRNA from 1 species